rnacentral:rRNA from 1 species
AACGCUGGCGGCGUGCCUAAUACAUGCAAGUAGAACGCUGAAGAGAGGAGCUUGCUCUUCUUGGAUGAGUUGCGAACGGGUGAGUAACGCGUAGGUAACCUGCCUUGUAGCGGGGGAUAACUAUUGGAAACGAUAGCUAAUACCGCAUAACAAUGGAUGACACAUGUCAUUUAUUUGAAAGGGGCAAUUGCUCCACUACAAGAUGGACCUGCGUUGUAUUAGCUAGUAGGUGAGGUAAUGGCUCACCUAGGCGACGAUACAUAGCCGACCUGAGAGGGUGAUCGGCCACACUGGGACUGAGACACGGCCCAGACUCCUACGGGAGGCAGCAGUAGGGAAUCUUCGGCAAUGGGGGCAACCCUGACCGAGCAACGCCGCGUGAGUGAAGAAGGUUUUCGGAUCGUAAAGCUCUGUUGUAAGUCAAGAACGGGUGUGAGAGUGGAAAGUUCACACUAUGACGGUAGCUUACCAGAAAGGGACGGCUAACUACGUGCCAGUAGCCGCAGUAAUACGUAGGUCCCGAGCGUUGUCCGGAUUUAUUGGGCGUAAAGCGAGCGCAGGCGGUUUGAUAAGUCUGAAGUUAAAGGCUGUGGCUCAACCAUAGUUCGCUUUGGAAACUGUCAAACUUGAGUGCAGAAGGGGAGAGUGGAAUUCCAUGUGUAGCGGUGAAAUGCGUAGAUAUAUGGAGGAACACCGGUGGCGAAAGCGGCUCUCUGGUCUGUAACUGACGCUGAGGCUCGAAAGCGUGGGGAGCGAACAGGAUUAGAUACCCUGGUAGUCCACGCCGUAAACGAUGAGUGCUAGGUGUUGGAUCCUUUCCGGGAUUCAGUGCCGCAGCUAACGCAUUAAGCACUCCGCCUGGGGAGUACGACCGCAAGGUUGAAACUCAAAGGAAUUGACGGGGGCCCGCACAAGCGGUGGAGCAUGUGGUUUAAUUCGAAGCAACGCGAAGAACCUUACCAGGUCUUGACAUCCCGAUGUUAUUUCUAGAGAUAGAAAGUUACUUCGGUACAUCGGUGACAGGUGGUGCAUGGUUGUCGUCAGCUCGUGUCGUGAGAUGUUGGGUUAAGUCCCACAACGAGCGCAACCCCUAUUGUUAGUUGCCAUCAUUCAGUUGGGCACUCUAGCGAGACUGCCGGUAAUAAACCGGAGGAAGGUGGGGAUGACGUCAAAUCAUCAUGCCCCUUAUGACCUGGGCUACACACGUGCUACAAUGGUUGGUACAACGAGUUGCGAGUCGGUGACGGCGAGCUAAUCUCUUAAAGCCAAUCUCAGUUCGGAUUGUAGGCUGCAACUCGCCUACAUGAAGUCGGAAUCGCUAGUAAUCGCGGAUCAGCACGCCGCGGUGAAUACGUUCCCGGGCCUUGUACACACCGCCCGUCACACCACGAGAGUUUGUAACACCCGAAGUCGGUGAGGUAACCUUUUGGAGCCAGCCGCCUAAGGUGGGACAGAUGAUUGGGGUGAAGU